GACUAUUGAGUUGUGUUGAUUAUAUUUUUUAACAUUUGUGUAUCACUUUUACUUGCAUAUAUUCAAGGAUUUUUCUUUCUUGGUACUAGGAUGGAUAUUUUCUCCUGGAAUGCAGAUGGAUGUAUGAUUGAGGAGAUGAACCAAGCAUCCUGCUAUGAUAUGAUCGAGUUGUAUCUCGGGUACAUAGGAAAGUAGCUCAACAACUGGCAUAAAAAGAGCAUGCAUCAGGUUGAUGUAUGACUGUUUAGAACUUGUGACUGAUUUAGAUUGACCAUCAUAUGGACCAAUCCAAGCUCCGCCAGGAUGUAGACACUGUCCGUAAAUUCCUUCUAGACCAGUACAUCAAUGAGAAACAUGUCAAUCACAACACUCUACAUUAAUCAUUAUGAACAAAGUCAUGUCUAGGAGUUCCCAAUGGAGAAGGUGGAAGAGGCCUGCCGAGAGUACACUAUACGAGAUGUAGCGGGAGGAGCACCUGCUGGCUGCCUUUGCCUACUUCGACAAGGAGAACAAUGGGUACAUCACCAUAGAGAAGGUGUAACCGUGGAAAAGGCCUGCCGAGAGUACAACAUACAAGCAGUAUCAACACAUCAUCAACGAGGUCGGCAAUGUCAACAUGGUAAAUUUAUUCACUAAAGUCUCCAUCUCGAAUUAAUUAACUGAUUCAUUUAGUUCCAGUGAUUAGUCUUACUAUUAAGCUAAAAAUUACAAAUAUGAAUUCGAAAUUGAGUAUAUCCUUGAUAUACAGUAAUAUAUUUGAUUAGCAUGGUUGAAUCGACGAUGGGGAAUUUGUGGUCCCCCGUUGAAUUUCAACGGUCCAAGGGUUCUGUAGAAGUACAAGAUUUUAAAGAGAGAGGGCUCAGACAUGGUCACAAGAAUGAAGGUUAUCAUGUGAAGAACGACAAGACAUGAAUUCGACCAUUUGUUACAGCUAGAAGUUAAAAAAUGAUCUCUGUUAAGUUUCCAAGAUUGUUGUAAAUAAUAACUGGUUAAACAAGAUUUAUUUCAAGUUUUCAAGAUUUUUCUAUGAGCUUAACAGUUUAGAAUAGUUCUCACCUUGUUACUAGGAUUUAGCAGCACAAACAUAUUUUUUACACGCCGUCUACAGGGAGUUGUCAAUA